AAAGAGAAGAGAAGUUGGAGAUUUCUCUUGUUUGGUAAGAAGAGAAAUUGAGAAGAGAGAAGAAUAAAUGGUGGGUCCCAUACCUUUUUGUUUUCUCUUCAAAAGUGAGAAGAAAGAGGGAAGAAGACAAAAAUGUCAAAUACUCCUUCCGGUCUCAAAUGUAGGGAAAAAAAAAAAGCACACCAAUUAAGAAAAUGAAUUGAUUACAUUGAAGUCAUGUUAAAAAAUGUACAACUUUCCAAUUUUGCCCUUGUCAUGUUUUAGUAAUAAUUAAUGAAAGU
rnacentral:lncRNA from 1 species